GACGAACGCUGGCGGCGUGCUUAACACAUGCAAGUCGAACGGAAAGGCCCUGCUUUUGUGGGGUGCUCGAGUGGCGAACGGGUGAGUAACACGUGAGUAACCUGCCCUUGACUUUGGGAUAAAUUCAGGAAACUGGGGCUAAUACCGGAUAGGAGCUCCUGCUGCAUGGUGGGGGUUGGAAAGUUUCGGCGGUUGGGGAUGGACUCGCGGCUUAUCAGCUUGUUGGUGGGGUAGUGGCUUACCAAGGCUGUGACGGGUAGCCGGCCUGAGAGGGUGACCGGCGACAUUGGGACUGAGAGACGGCCCAGACGCCUACGGGAGGCAGCAGUGGGAAGUAUGACGCAGUGGGCGGAAGCCUGAGGCAGCAACGCCGCGUGCGGGAUGACGGCCUUCGGGUUGUAAACCGCUUUCGCCUGUAACGAAGCGUGAGUGACGGUAAUGGGUAAAGAAGCACCGGCUAACUACGUG
rnacentral:rRNA from 1 species